GCGAGUGAACCGGGAUGAGCUCAAAUUUGAAAUCUGGCGUCCUCAGGGCGUCCGAGUUGUAAUCUAUAGAGGCGUUUUCCGUGCCGGACCGUGUCCAAGUCCCUUGGAACAGGGUAUCAAAGAGGGUGACAAUCCCGUACUUGACACGACGACCGGUGCUCUGUGAUACGUCUUCUACGAGUCGAGUUGUUUGGGAAUGCAGCUCAAAAUGGGUGGUGAGUUCCAUCUAAAGCUAAAUAUUGGCGAGAGACCGAUAGCGAACAAGUACCGUGAGGGAAAGAUGAAAAGCACUUUGGAAAGAGAGUUAAACAGUACGUGAAAUUGUUGAAAGGGAAACGAUUGAAGUCAGUCGUGACUGUUGGGCUCAGCAGGUUCUGCCUGUGUAUUCCCUUCAGUCGGGUCAACAUCAGUUUUGACCGGUGGAUAAGGGCAGCAGGAAUGUGGCACCCUCGGGUGUGUUAUAGCCUGUCGUCGCAUACAUCGGUUGAGACUGAGGAACGCAGCUCGCCUUUAUGGCCGGGGUUCGCCCACGUCCGAGCUUAGGAUGUUGACAUAAUGGCUUUAAACGACCC
rnacentral:rRNA from 1 species